UGUUUUCUUCUAUUGUAUCUGAUUUUGUCUCUUUCAGUUGUAGGCACUCUUCAACAUGUCAGAUCUUUGGCUAUCUCUAUUCACUUUAAGACUGAAGCACCGAAAACUACCAGGAAGCUCCAGAGCAUGUGGAUAUGGGUAUGUGGACAGAGCCAUCAACUGACUGGCUUUUCUUUAGGAUUUUCAACACUGAGCCAAAAUUUUUGGAGGGAUAGAUGCAAAUAUCAAUUCUCUGGUUAUCUGGGAUGGGGAAGAGAUCUGGUUCCCUACACACUAUAUGCAGACUUUCACACAGUGGCUCUUGCUUUCUGAUCAGAGUCUCAUGCCUUUUUCUCAGUGGAGUCUCCAAAUCCUAAAUCUCUCAAGAGUCUGUGGUUCUACUCAAUGCCAGAGUUUUCUAUGACAGACCCUUAAGUUAUAGUCUGCUCCUUCCUGCAAAGCUGGUGACCACUAUUUCAUCUGCUUUCCAUCCUCCAAAAGCUCAUUUAAAUGUCAUGUCUGUUGUUGCCCUCCUGUUCUCUAUGUUCUUGGGUCCAUUUUUACUCCUUUAUUGUCAUUUUGGCAAAAUUUUGGUAGAGCCACACCUGUGGCCAAUCAACACUUUAAGACUAAAACUCAUCACAUGAGAACUGAAAACACUGAUCCUCAAGAAAGAAAGCAAUUAGGGACUUGAUUUCUUUCUCUCAGAAAGCUUCUUGCCACCUACACAAAUGUGUCUACUUAACUUUCUCAGAGAAAUAAUUUCUCUAGGCCAAAAGCUCUGAGUGGGUAGACAUUAACAACUAAAAGACAUAUCCUGUUAUACUGACAAGUGGAGGGGCUUAGGAGGGGAGAGAGGGAGAAAAUGAAAUGUGGCAAGCAUUGAAAGAAAGGGAGCCGAGGAGGCAAUGAGAGAUUGCAUAGCCUAGAGGAGAUGAGAGGAACAAAGAAUUCCAUGCCACUUUAUGCAGCAAAGCUCUGCUACUUUCCAUUCUUAAUAACACAUCUUAACUUACAUUUAUAUUAUUUUACACCUGGACUGUUACAAGUGUCUCCCAACAGAUAGUCCUCCUGUUCCUCUUGGCUCCCAUAAAUCCAUCACCAUAUGGUUACGUCACACUCUUGUUUAAAAUCCUUUACUGGCUCUCAUUGACCUCAGCAUGAGGGCCUAGUCACGUCUGACACACAAAGUCUUCUGUUACCUGGCCUCUGUUUGCCUCUCCAGCCUCAUCUUUCUCUACUUCCUGCCAUGUAGUUUUUCCCUUCAAUCUUCUUGUGUUCUCCCUUCAACCUGCAAUUCCCCUUGCUUGCUUAGUGCCUGGUCAUUCUCUAAGAUGCUCAGACAUUGCUCACUGACCUCAGAAAGUCCCACCACCACCUCUUCCUCUGUGUUAGGUGUUCCUCACUGGGCUUUCAUAAAAACCUAUGCUUCUACAUCCACAUUUGUUUGUGUAUGUGUGUGAGUGCAUAGGUGUGCACAUGUGUUUAAAUAGUUAUCUGUUUACUAUGUGCUCCCUAGUCUAACAUUCUCAAGGGAAAAAAAACCCAAAAACCUGCAUCUUUGAUCUCUGAAACUCUAUCACAUAAUACCUUGCACAUAAUAGGCACAGUACUGAAUGAAUUAAUGAAUGAUUGAGCAAAUGAAUGAAUUAAUUUCAGAAGGAGUCAUCUGGAUGGGGUAACUUAAAAAGCUUUCAGAGUUCCCACUGUGGUUUAGUGGUAAUGAACCUGACUAGUAUCCAUGAGGACAUGAGUUCAAUCCCUAGCCCCCCUCAGUGGAUUGAAGAUUUGGCAUUGCCAUGAGCUGCAGUGUAGGUCACAGACACAGCUCAGAUCUGGUAUUGGAAUAGCUGUGGCACAGGUAGCUGCAGCUCCAAUUCAACCCCUAACCUGGGAACCUCCAUAUGCCACAGUGCAGCCCUAAAAAGACCAAAAAAAAAGUUUCAAUCAGGGGGCUGUUCUAGAGUCAAUUCUGAAGGACCUCACUGAAUAAAUAAAAAAAUAUGUUGUCAUACCUCCCUCCAAAAUAAAUUUCUGAUGGAUCAAAGACUUAAUUUUGAAAGAGAGAAAGAGCCAUGACAAUACCAGAAGAAAGCCUGUGAGAAUGUUAUAUUUUAGAGUGGAGAAUGUUUUUCUAAUGAGAAAAUUUAAAGAACUGCGGUUUCAACUACAUAUUUCUUUAACUACAUGAAAAAAACAUCCCAUGAACCAAGUCAAAUGACUAGCUGCAAAGACUAUUUAUAACAUGUAUAAGAAAGGGCUAAUUUCCUUAUUAAAUAUAAAGGGUCACUAUAAUGAGAAGACUUAUAAUCCAAUAGAGAAAUGAGCAAAGGCCAAGAACAGAGAGCCCACAUAUAAGGAAAUACAAAGGAAAUUUAGAUGAUUUUAAAGGUGCCCAAUUUUAUUUACAGUAAGAAAAAUAGACUAAAUAUUUGGGGAUUCCAUCCUCACUUGGAUCAGCAAAGAUUAAUCUGGUUUGCAAGGAUGGGAUGAAACAGGCAUUCUUACACAUUGUUGGUAGGGGAUGUAAAUUGAUACAAAUUUUGAAAAGGACACUUUGCCAGUAUGUAUUAAAAGUGAAAACGCACAUGCUUUUGAUCUGGCAUUUGUACUUCUAGGUGUACCUUACAUCUAGGAGUAUAAAUUUAGAUGUACUGGGCUAUCUAUUGCAUUAAUUAACAAAUAUUAAGUGCAUGUUAUGUGUAAAACUUUGUCUAAGGGUUAGAGGUUAUAAUGGUGAGCAAAACAGAGAAAGAUCAAGAUGGCAGGAGAGUAAGACAUCACACUCACCUUCUCCCACAAACACAUAAAAAAAAAACCAUAUUUACAUGUAAAAUCAUAAACACAGAACAUCUACUGAAUGCUGGUAGAACUUAAACCUCCAAAAAGGGCAAGAAACCCUCCACAUAACCGGGUAGAACAAAAGAAAAAGAGAGAGAGAAGAAUCAGGACGGGACUAGCACUCUGAGAGGGAGCUGUUAAAGAGGAAAAGAACCCACAACCUGGGAAGCCACCUUAUUGACAGGGAGAUCAGCUGAGAUGGAAGGACUUCAAAGUCACUGAGAAAAGCACAGCAGCUGGACUGAGGAGGACAAAGCAGAGUGAGAGCUGCACAGAUCAUCUGCACCACUGCCCCGGAUAUUACAGCCUGAGACGCUCGGGGGUGGGGGCUGGAUGUGGAGACUCAGGCUCUGGAGGUCAGUUCCAGGGAAAGGACUAUGGUUGGCUGUGUGGAGACAGCCUGAGGGUCUAGGGAGUGGUGUGCCAUGGGUUAGCAAAUGGAACACCACAGCCAAGGGAACCUGGGAGAUGGGCUGGGCCUGUAGGAGAAGCAAGCUGCCAUUGUUGGGGAGGGUGAGAGGAGGAGGGGAGGACCGCCAUAGGAAUCUCUUUCCCUGUGCAUGUGCAGGCUCUCAGAGGGCAGGGUGCCUCUGGUGAGGCUAAGGGUGGCAAAAGGGCACUUGCUUGGGCUGCAGGAGACCUGGCACCUCUUCUUUGGGGUAUGGGUGGCUGGGUACCUCUUAUGUGGGCUAAGGGCAGUUGGGGAGUAAGUGUGACAUGGUGCCUUUUGUGUGAUCUACAGGUGGUGGGAAUAAACCAUAGCAGUCAUCUCAGAAACUGGAGGGGGGCAUGGCCUGCCACCACUAGGGGUCUGUGAACAGGCUCCACCUGCCACCCUAGUCACUUUAGAGGAUGGCAAAAAGGGCACUGCAACAGAGCACCACCCAAUGUUGCUCUCACUCCCCUGGGAACAUACCUGCCCUGCUGCUGCCACCACCAAAAGUUCCAGGCAGUGCCCACACAUGCCUGAUCACUGUAACUUCCCAGGACCCUGCAACUAGGAGCAGGCUAUGCAGCACCUCCUGCAUGGGCUAAGUGGGACAGAGUGAUUCUUCCAUGGUUUCCAUGGUGGUGAGGGCAAACCGCUACAGCUUUCUCUGAGUCCAGAGGUGGGCAUGACCUGCCACCACUAGGGGUCCGUGAACAGGUACCACUUGUGGCCCCGGUUACCUCAGAGGGCAACAGAGAUGAGGACAUUGCAACCAGACACCACCCAUUAUUGCUCUCCCUCCCCUGGGAACUCACACACCCUUCUGCUACCACUGCCAAAUGCUCUGGGCAUCACCUAAAUCUGCCUGAGUCUCAUUACCACUUCCCAGGGCCCUGCAACUAGGAGUAGUCUGCACCACCCUACCCAUUGCCUCCUUCUUCUUGGAAACACACUCAGCACCCUGGGGCCGACAGCCUGCUCACACAAAAGAAAGAGACAGCAAAUAUCCAAACUCCCAUGCCAAAAAUUAAUAAUAACCCCCUGCAGAAUACAAAGGGCUGCUCUUGCAUAGAAAUAGCCCUCCAAGACUACAGUAGUUGCUUUCAGUAAACUCACAGAAUAAGAAAAAUAUAAGCAAAUGAAGAAGCUCAGGAACCAUUCUCAGUUAAAAGAACAGGAGUAUUCACCUGAAGCAGCAAAUAAUGACACAGACCUCUGCAGUCUAACAGACACUGAAUUCAAAAAGGAGAUAAUGAAAAUACUGAAGGAAUUAAGGGUGCAUAUGAAGGAAUUAGGAGCAGAUGUAAACAGUAAUGCAGAUUACUUUAGACAGGAACUAGAAAAUAUAAGGAGGAGCCAAGAAAAAUUGGAAAAUUCAUUUGCAGAGAUGCAAACUGAGCUAAAGGCACCAAAGAGCAGAAUGAAUAAUGCAGAGGAAAGAACAAGUGACUUGGAAGAUAGAAUAAUGGAAAUCACCCAAUCAGGAAAGCAGACAGAAAACCAAAUGAAAAAACAUGAAAGGAAUAUAAGAGGUCUAUGGGAUAAUAUAAAGUGGUAAUAAGGAUUCCAGAAGGAGUAGAAAAACAAAAGGGGAUUGAAAAUACAUUUGAGGGGAGUUCCUGUCAUGGCUCAGUGUUUAACAAAUCCAACUAGGAACCAUGAGGUUUGGGGUUCGAUCCCUGUCCUCGCUCAGUGGGUUAAGGAUCUGGCGUUGCCUUGAGCUGUGGCGUAGGUUGCAGAUGCGGCUCAGAUCCUGUGUUGCUGUGGCUCUGGCGAAAGCCGGUGGCCUUCUGAUUAGACCCCUAGCCCGGGAACCUGCAUAUGCCACGGAAGCGGCCCUGGAAAAGGCAAAAAAAAAACCAAAACCAAAAACAAAAUAUAUUUGAGGAAAUUAUGGCUGAAAACUUUCCAAAUCUAAGGAAACAGAUAUCAAGAUACAGGAAGCACAGAGGGCCCCAAACAAGUUGAACCCAAAUAGGCCCACACCGAGACAUAUUAUAAUACAAAUGGCAAAAGUUAAAGAUAAAGAGAGGAUUGUAAAGGCAGCAAGAGAAAAAGCGUUAAUUAUAAGGGAACCCCCAUAAGGCUAUCAGCUGAUUUCUCUACAUUAACACUAUAGGGUAGAAGCGGCAAGAUACAUUCAAAGUUCUAAAAGGGAAAAAUUUGCAGCCUAGAAUAGUCUCCCAGCAAGAAUAUCAUUUAAAAUAGAAGGAGAAAUAAAGAGUUUAUCCAACAAACAAAAACUAAAAGAGUACAGCAAUACUAAACCCAUUCUAAAAGAAAUACUGAAAGGGCUUUUCUAAAUAAAAAAAAAGAAUAGGAUGGAGGAAAUGACAAUUGGAAAGCAAUCAUUUAAAUAAGCCAGGAUACAGAUCUAAAAGGAAAAAAAAAAACCUAUUGUAAAAGUGACAAUAAACACAAGGAACAGUAAAAGGACAUACAUGAAGAUGUCAAAAAAGGACUUCAAAAUCAUAAAAUGUAGAGAAGGAAAAGUAAGAAAAUCUAGACUCUUUUAGAAUGUGUUUGAGCCUAUAUGACGAUCAGGCUAAAGCAAGCAGAUAUAGGAAGGGGUUAACAUACUUGAAAAACAGGGCAACUACAAAUCAAACCAAACAUUACAUUCACAAAAACUAAAAACAAAAGGGCACAAGCAUAAAACAAAAGGAAAUCAUCCAACCAAAAAAAAAGAAAGGAACAAAGGAGAAACAUAGAAUCACUGGAAAAAUAGGUUUAAAAUGGCAACAAAGACAUAUUUAUGAGUAAUUACCUUAAAUGUCAAUGGACUGAAUGCUCCAAUCAAAAGACAUAGAGUGGCAGAUUGGAUUAAAAAAGCAAGAGCCUACAUGCUGUUUACAAAAGACUCACCUUAGGGCAAAGAUACAUAUAAAUUGAAAGUGAGAGGAUGGGAAAAGAUACUUCAUGGCAAUGGAAAAGACAGGAAAGCAGGAGUUGCAAUACUCAUAUCAGGCAAAAUAGACUUUAAAACAAAGGCCAUAAAAAAUACAAAGAAGAACACUAUUUAAUUAUAAAAGGAUCCAGUCAAGAAAGGGGGUAUUACAAUUGUCAAUAUAUAUGCCCUCAUAUGGGAGCACCCAGAUACAUACAGCAAAUACCAGCAGACAUAAAAGAAGAAAUUAAUGUGAAUACAAUAAUAGUAGGAGACUCUAACACUUCACUCACAUUUACUGACAGAUCCUCUAGACAGAAAAUCAAUAAGGCAACAGAGAUCCUAAAGGACACAAUAGAAAAGUUAGACUUAGUUGACAUUUUCAGGACGUUAUAUCUAAAAAAAUCAGAAUAUACUUUCUUUUCAAGUGCAUAUGGAAUAUUCUCGAGAAUUGACCACAUACUGGGGCAUANAUACUUCAAACAUCUGGGAAAAAAUAAAUUUUUUUUUUUUUUUUUUUUUUGUCUUGUCUUGUCUUUUCUAGGGCCGCACCUGCAUCAUAUGGAGGUUCCCAGGCUAGGGGUCUAAUCAGAGCUGUAGCCUCCAGCCUAUGCCAGAGCCACAGCAAUGCCAGAUCCAAGCCAGGUCUGUGACCUACACCACAGCUCACAGCAAUGCCAGAUCCUUACCCCACUGAGCAAGACCAGGGACCGAACCCCAAACCUCAUGGUUUAGUCGGAUUCGUUAACCACUGAGCCAUGACGGCAACUCCCACAAAAGUAAUCUUAACAAAUUUAAAAGUAUAGAUAUUAUUUCAAGUAACCACAAUGGCAUGAAAGUAGAAAUCAACUACGGGAAAAGAAAUGAGAAAAAACUGACUACAUGGAGACCAAACAACAUGCUACUAAAAAACCAAUGAAUCAAUGAGGAAGUCAAAAAGGAAAUUAAAAAAUACCUUGAGAUAAAUGAUAAUGAAAACACAACCAUUCAAAAUCUAUGGGAUGCCACAAAAAGCAGUGCCUAGAGGGAAAGUUCAUUUCAAGACAGGCCUUCCUCAAAAAAGAAUAAAAAUCUCAAAUCGACAACUUAACACACCACCUAGAAUUAGAAAAAGAAGAAAAAAAAAAAAAAA
rnacentral:lncRNA from 1 species